rnacentral:rRNA from 1 species
GUCGAGAAUCUUCCCCAAUGGGCGAAAGCCUGAGGGAGCGACGCCGCGUGAGGGAUGAAGGCCCUUUGGGUUGUAAACCUCUGUUAGGGGGAAAGAAAAGCAGUGGAAGCAAUAUGUCCAUUGCCUGACGUUACCCCCAGAGAAAGCUCCGGCCAACUCCGUGCCAGCAGCCGCGGUAAUACGGGGGGAGCAAGCGUUGUCCGGAAUCAUUGGGCGUAAAGGGCGUGUAGGCGGCUUGGCAAGUCGAAUGUGAAAUCCCACGGCUCAACCGUGGAACUGCGUUCGAAACUGCCUUGCUUGAGUGCGGGAGAGGUGUGAGGAAUUCCUGGUGUAGCGGUGGAAUGCGUAGAUAUCAGGAAGAACACCGGUGGCGAAGGCGACACACUGGCCCAGCACUGACGCUGAGGCGCGAAAGCGUGGGGAGCGAACGGGAUUAGAAACCCCGGUAGUCC